rnacentral:rRNA from 1 species
AUGUGCAGCCCAGCAAAUAGUACUCGCUCGAAGACUGGGACUGGGUCGCACAACAUACGACAGCUGACUCUCCCGCGCGGCCCAGGAGGAAGCAGGAGGAUGAACGGCGGCAAGAAGAAGUUCGGCGGCGGGCGGGUGCCGACGGGGACCCCCUCGCUGGCGUGGUCGUCGGUGGUGGUGGUCGCCUCCCUCCUCGCCGGCGCCUCCAUCGUCCACAACAUCUACAAGCCGGACAUGACUCUCCCGCCGGUGGAGGUUGCUGACAGCAAUGGAUCUGGAGCCGGCAGCGGCGAUCGCAAGGAGAGCUGA